rnacentral:rRNA from 1 species
ACGAACGCUGGCGGCGUGCUUAACACAUGCAAGUCGAACGGUGAAGCGCCUUCCUUUUUGGUGGGUGUGGAUGAGUGGCGAACGGGUGAGUAACACGUGAGUAACCUGCCCCCUUCUUCUGGAUAACCGCAUGAAAGUGUGGCUAAUACGGGAUAUUCUGGGUCUGUCGCAUGAUGGGUCUGGGAAAGAUAUUGUUUCGGUGGGGGAUGGGCUCGCGGCCUAUCAGCUUGUUGGUGGGGUGAUGGCCUACCAAGGCGGUGACGGGUAGCCGGCCUGAGAGGGUGGACGGUCACACUGGGACUGAGACACGGCCCAGACUCCUACGGGAGGCAGCAGUGGGGAAUACUGCACAAUGGGCGCAAGCCUGAUGCAGCGACGCCGCGUGAGGGAUGGAGGCCUUCGGGUUGUGAACCUCUUUCGCCAGUGAAGCAGGCCUGCCUCGUUUGUGGGUGGGUUGACGGUAGCUGGAUAAGAAGCGCCGGCUAACUACGUG